GACGGACGCUGGCGGCGUGCUUAACACAUGCAAGUCGAGCGGAAAGGCCUCUUCGGGGGUACUCGAGCGGCGAACGGGUGAGUAACACGUGAGUAAUCUGCCCUUCACUCUGGGAUAGCCACCGGAAACGGUGAUUAAUACCGGAUACGACACGCGGCCGCAUGGUCUGUGUGUGGAAACUUUUUGGGUGGGGGAUGUGCUCGCGGCCUAUCAGCUUGUUGGUGGGGUAAUGGCCUACCAAGGCUUCGACGGGUAGCCGGCCUGAGAGGGUGACCGGCCACACUGGGACUGAGACACGGCCCAGACUCCUACGGGAGGCAGCAGUGGGGAAUAUUGGACAAUGGGCGGAAGCCUGAUCCAGCAACGUCGCGUGAGGGAUGACGGCCUUCGGGUUGUAAACCUCUUUCAGCACCGACGAAGCGAUCCUUUGGGGAGUGACGGUAGGUGCAGAAGAAGGACCGGCCAACUACGUGCCAGCCGCCGCGGUAACAC
rnacentral:rRNA from 1 species